rnacentral:rRNA from 1 species
AUUGAACGCUGGCGGCAGGCCUAACACAUGCAAGUCGAACGGCAGCACAGAAGAGCUUGCUCUUUGGGUGGCGAGUGGCGGACGGGUGAGUAAUGUCUGGGAAACUGCCCGAUGGAGGGGGAUAACUACUGGAAACGGUAGCUAAUACCGCAUAACGUCGCAAGACCAAAGUGGGGGACCUUCGGGCCUCACACCAUCGGAUGUGCCCAGAUGGGAUUAGCUAGUAGGUGGGGUAAUGGCUCACCUAGGCGACGAUCCCUAGCUGGUCUGGGAGGAGGACCAGCCACACUGGAACUGAGACACUGUGCAGACUCCUACGGGAGGCAGCAGUGGGGAAUAUUGCACAAUGGGCGAAAGCCAGAUGCAGCCAUGCCGCGUGUAUGAAGAAGGCCUUCGGGUUGUAAAGUACUUUCAGCGGGGAGGAAGGCGGUGAGGUUAAUAACCUUGCCGAUUGACGUUACCCGCAGAAGAAGCACCGGCUAACUCCGUGCCAGCCGCCGCGGUAA